GGGUGCGAUCAUACCAGCGUUAAUGUACCGGAUCCCAUCAGAACUCUGCAACUACGCGAACUUGGGCUAGAGUAGUAUUGGGAUGGGUGACCUACUGGGAAGUCCUAGUGUUGCACCCU
rfam:Picea glauca, whole genome shotgun sequence.